UUUCUGCCCACUAAAAUACUUUCUGGUAUAAUUCUGGUAUAUAUUUCUAAACUUCUAGUAUAUUGCAAACGUUUCUUGAAAAAACGAUUUCGGGCACACUUAAAAAGCGGCGUCGGUUUCGAGAAGUUGUGCAGCGAAAAGUGAAGUGAAAAAGUUAAAAGUAAAAGUUAUGAGUGAUAUUGACCUUCCUUCUUCUGGAGGAGUGGGAUUUCAGAGACUUAUUGCCCACAUUUCUCGCGAUCAGCGGACAUGUACAUGCAUGCAAAUGUAUUUUUUGGCUUCUUGUUGACUUGCGAUGGCAACCAUCUCAGGCGAGUGCGAGCAAGAUAGCUGGCACUGACAUCCAAAAACCGUGAGAGUAUACACAUGUAACUAUAAAACAUAACUAUGUAAAUGGAAUCAACAAAAUAAAAGCUAUAGUCGAGACAAAAGUACCAGUUCGGAUGUGAAAUAUGGACUAAUAUAUAUUUGAAAUAUAUAUAUAUAAGUCCAUAAUAUUAUUAAUUAAG